rnacentral:rRNA from 1 species
CCUACGGGCGGCUGCAGUGAGGAAUAUUGGUCAAUGGGCGCAAGCCUGAACCAGCCAAGUAGCGUGAAGGAUGACUGCCCUACGGGUUGUAAACUUCUUUUAUAAAGGAAUAAAGUGAGGCACGUGUGCCUUUUUAUAUAUACUUUAUUAAUAAGGAUCAGCUAACUCCGUGCCAGCAGCCGCGGUAAUACGGAGGAUCCGAGCGUUAUCCGGAUUUAUUGGGUUUAAAGGGAGCGUAGAUGGGUUGUUAAGUCAGUUGUGAACGUUUGCGGCUCAACCGUAAAAUUGCAAUUGAUACUGGCAGUCUUGAGUAAAGUUGAGGUAGGCGGAAUUCGUGGUGUAGCGGUGAAAUGCGUAGAUAUCACGAAGAACUCCGAUUGCGAAGGCAGCUUACUAAACUGCAACUGACAUUGAUGCUCGAAAGUGUGGGUAGCAAACAGGAUUAGAUACCCCUGUAGUC